GAUGAACGCUGGCGGCGUUCCUAAUACAUGCAAGUCGAGCGAACGGACGAGAAGCUUGCUUCUCUGAUGUUAGCGGCGGACGGGUGAGUAACGCGUGGAUAACCUACCUAUAAGACUGGGAUAACUUCGGGAAACCGUAGCUAAUACCGGAUAAUAUUUUGAACCGCAUGGUUCAAAAGUGAAAGACGGUCUUGCUGUCACUUAUAGAUGGAUCCGCGCUGCAUUAGCUAGUUGGUAAGGUAACGGCUUACCAAGGCAACGAUGCAUAGCCGACCUGAGAGGGUGAUCGGCCACACUGGAACUGAGACACGGUCCAGACUCCUACGGGAGGCAGCAGUAGGGAAUCUUCCGCAAUGGGCGAAAGCCUGACGGAGCAACGCCGCGUGAGUGAUGAAGGUCUUCGGAUCGUAAAACUCUGUUAUUAGGGAAGAACAUAUGUGUAAGUAACUGUGCACAUCUUGACGGUACCUAAUCAGAAAGCCACGGCUAACUACGUG
rnacentral:rRNA from 1 species